rnacentral:rRNA from 1 species
UACGUAGGGGGCAAGCGUUGUCCGGAUUUAUUGGGCGUAAAGAGCGUGUAGGCGGCCACACAGGUCAGCUGUGAAAACUCGAGGCUCAACCUCGAGACGUCGGUUGAAACCGUAUGGCUAGAGUCCGGAAGGGGCGAGUGAAAUUCCUGGUGUAGCGGUGAAAUGCGCAGAUAUCAGGAGGAACACCAAUGGCGAAGGCAGCUCGCUGGAACGGUACUGACGCUGAGGCGCGAAAGCGUGGGGAGCAAACAGG